CGCUGCGCCGAAAAUAUACCGGGGCUAAACACACCACCGAAGCUGCGGAUUGACAUCUACGAUGUCAGUGGUAGGAGAGCGUUCUAAGGGCAGUGAAGGUCGAUCGUGAGGACGGCUGGAGCGCUUAGAAGUGAGAAUGCCGGUAUGAGUAGCGAAAAAAGAGUGAGAAUCUCUUUCAUCGAAAGCCCAAGGUUUCCUGAGGAAGGCUCGUCCGCUCAGGGUUAGUCGGGG
rnacentral:rRNA from 1 species